CACUCCUGCGGGAGGCAGCAGUGGGGAAUUUUGGACAAUGGGCGAAAGCCUGAUCCAGCAAUGCCGCGUGAGUGAAGAAGGCCUUCGGGUUGUAAAGCUCUUUUGUCAGGGAAGAAACGGUGAAAGCUAAUAUCUUUUGCUAAUGACGGUACCUGAAGAAUAAGCACCGGCUAACUACGUGCCAGCAGCCGCGGUAAUACGUAGGGUGCAAGCGUUAAUCGGAAUUACUGGGCGUAAAGCGUGCGCAGGCGGUUUUGUAAGUCUGAUGUGAAAUCCCCGGGCUCAACCUGGGAAUUGCAUUGGAGACUGCAAGGCUAGAAUCUGGCAGAGGGGGGUAGAAUUCCACGUGUAGCAGUGAAAUGCGUAGAUAUGUGGAGGAACACCGAUGGCGAAGGCAGCCCCCUGGGUCAAGAUUGACGCUCAUGCACGAAAGCGUGGGGAGCAAACAGGAUUAGAAACCCGGGUAGUCCCAU
rnacentral:rRNA from 1 species